rnacentral:rRNA from 1 species
UACGUAAGGGGCAAGCGUUGUCCGGAAUCACUGGGCGUAAAGCGCACGUAGGCGGUUUAGCAAGUUAGGGGUGCAAGCUCCAGGCUUAACCUGGAAACUGCCUCUAAAACUACUUCACUUGAGUAUUAGAGGGGAAGCUGGAAGUUCGACGGUGUAGCGGUGAAAUGACGUAGAUAUCGUGGAGAACACCCGUGGCGAAGGCGGGCUUACUGGCUAUAACGUGAACGCU